rnacentral:lncRNA from 1 species
AAUUUUAUAAAUUAGCUCUAUAAAUUCUUAAUCUUUAAAUAAUACAUUUUUUGUAUUUACUAAAUUUUAAGAUCCAUUCAUUUCUUUUCCUGAUGUUACUGUUGAUUUUAUUCAAAGUACUGAAGUACUGUAAUAUUCCUUGUUGAUUUUAUAAAAAUUCUGAACUGCGACACUAGUAUUAUUACAAUCAAAACUUGAGCUCCAGUCAGCCAAGUGUCAAUCGGCCAACCGUUUCCACAGUUUAAAACCUUUUCCAUAGCUACUUUUCUUCAAUAGACAGAUAUUUAAAUCCACAACUAUAAUGCGCCUAGUAAGAUUAUUAUUUUAAAAGAAAAUAUGUUUAGAACAGAACACGUUUUUUCAAAUCAUACAGUGAAGCAAUAGGAAAUUUUGAGUAACUUUCAUCUUUCCGAACAAACACUUUACCCACCUCGGUCUACACUUAUUUGUAACCAUGGUCCCUAAUCUGUUUAGAAUGAUAAAGCAGGCUCUUACUAAAUGACGUCAAUUGAUAGACGUUGUUUGUAGCUGUAACAUCCUUAAGUAUGGUGACACCUUUCAGAAAGGUGACAUUCAGACUGUAAUUACAUCAAUCAUCUCAACUACUGACUGACUGACUAGGUACAGGACAUUCUUGUUACAUAAACUUUACAUUUCCCCUGAUGCAUUUAUCGUUUGGUUUGUUGCAGGAGGUGCCACGUCUUCUACUGAAGGCAUACCGGCUCUGAUCCGUGACUACUGGCUACUGUGUGACACUGUACGCGAAGCUAACGCUUUCUACGGCGACCAGCUCCUGGCAGUUGUCCUCACGACGUUGAUACGUACCGUUAUCGAUCUCUCAGCCUUCGUUGUUAUUUACAAUAGUAUUCUUAAUGGCAGUAUCUAUGCAGGAAUAUGGUCCUUGGUCCACAUUUUGUACUUGUUGACGUUGGCUUACCUCUGCACAAACGUUACUGAAUCGGUAUAUAUUUUACAUGUUCACUGUCACCUUCUAGUUAUAUGUGUUUUAUAUAAUGCACUAAAUUGUAAAUGGAUGUAUUUACUAUAUAAUCGUUAAUGUAAUUGCCUUCAUUAGCUUCAACUUAAUUUAUUUAUAUUUCAAUAUUGCUUUAUAUUUCAGGCAGAUGAGAUGACUCACUCUGUUUUUAAACUGAUCAACAUGGACAUAGACGAGGAACUUCGAGAUUAGGUUACAUUCCUUUUAUACAUUUUACACAAUUGACUUAUUGGAGGAUAUCUUGCUCCAGUUGUAUAAUCACAAAGUGGAACUCUCCGCAUUAGGAUUUUUCAACAUGAACUAUAGAACAGUAACCUCUAUGGCUGGAGCUAUAACCACUUAUUUGGUGAUCCUGGUUCAAUUCCAGACAUCGUCCUAGACGUGAGUGGCUUAUGUUGGAUCAUCUCGACCCGACCAAUAUCUACAGUUAAAACACUUUAUUCCUGUACUUAUUAAUCGUAAACGUUUUUGAAUUAAUACAGAGUUAUAGCUAUUAACACAAAGACUAAUUUAGAAGUUUUGGAUGUUUAGUUGUGGUGGUUUUCGGUUGAAAUAACUCAUUAUGAAAUUUUAAUAAAAUUAUACAUCAAAGCCCUUUCAAGAAGACAUAAUAUGUUGAAUAAGUAUGUACGAUUAUGUUUUCAAUAUUGAACAGCGAUGUUUACAGUAUGUAUUUCAAAGAUGACUGUAGGGAAUCACGUGUUAAAUUAAAAAAUAAUAGAUUUUCUGCUACAUUUUCAUUAACAAUAUCAUAUUAAUUUUAAUCUUAUUAGAAAUAUAUAUAUAUAUAUAAUGCCCUUAGUUAAUAAUUUAUUAAAGACUUUGUAACUUAUUGAAGCCAUAAAUAUGAUAAGAUAAAUAUUAGUAUAUUUUUAGAGCUUUUUAUUUUAAUCUGGUUACAAACAUUUCUGCUUUUCUUGGAAUAAUACAAUUUUUGUCAUAUCUCUGUCUACAUGAAUGUUAUUUUUGGUUUAUAUGUUGAUAAAUAUAAAAAUAUCCAAAGAAAAAUCUGAUUGCGCCCAUUUUAAAGUAACUACACAGCAUCGACCUCGUGUGAAAACAUAUUCGCUCUCUCCAUAAAACACAUUCAGAAUUUCAUAGUUUAAUUUUAAUAUAUUUAUGAUUUACUGAUUGUAAUUCUGUUUAACUUGUCUAAGUAGAAUAUCUGGAUCUGGACUGUAAGUACGGUUAGUGUACUUCUUGAAAAUUUGUAAACUAUAAGUACUAUUGAAAUAACAUUUUAUAUUUUUUUUAUUUUGUCAAACAUGUAUAACAUGUUUCAGAUAUUUUAAAAUUUUUCUACUCUAACAGAGGUACUUGUGGUCAAUUUGGUCAAGAGUGGUUGGUCCUGUGUUGUCAGAAGUUUCAGUAAAUGCAAACGAAUUUGAGCGAUAUUUUUCCAGAAGAAUAUGAGCAAUAUAUUAAUUAUUGUAAUGUCAGUUUGUAAUCAGAGAAAAUGGCCGUGUCCAAUCUAUAUACCACAGUUUUCAGUCUGAUAACACUCAGUUGAUUGUGUGGCCGUAACUGUAAAUAUCAAAAUUGUUGUUAUGAGUAUUUAAGGAAAUAUAUACGUGGAUAAUUAAUAUUAUGAUAAAAUAUUGCAUUGUAUGGUUGGUAAUAAAUAUAAAAUACAAUUAUUAGAUUUUUACUUUGGAAUAUUGAUUUAUAGAGCAUUGCAUUAAUAGAAUGAUACACAACAUG